rnacentral:rRNA from 1 species
CCUACGGGUGGCAGCAGUGAGGAAUAUUGGUCAAUGGACGCGAGCCUGAACCAGCCAAGUAGCGUGAAGGAUGAAUGCCCUACGGGUUGUAACCUUCUUUUAUAAAGGAAUAAAGUGAGGCACGUGUGCCUUAUUGUAUGUACUUUAUGAAUAAGGAUCGGCUAACUCCGUCCCAGCAGCCGCGGUAAUACGGAGGAUUCGAGCGUUAUCCGGAUUUAUUGGGUUUAAAGGGAGCGUAGGUGGGUUGUUAAGUCAGUUGUGAAAGGCUGCGGCUCAACCGUAGAAUUGCAAUUGAUACUGGCAGUCUUGAGUACAGUUGAGGUAGGCGGAAUUCGUGGUGUAGCGGUGAAAUGCUUAGAUAUCACGAAGAACUCCGAUUGCGAAGGCAGCUUACUAAACUGCCACUGACAUUGAUGCUCGAAAGUGUGGGUAUCAAACAGGAUUAGAUACCCUUGUAGUC